rnacentral:lncRNA from 1 species
CACACACGUAACAGAAGGAGAAAAAAAUGCAAAAACUGGGGAGGGGAAAAUCCGGACAGAUCUGGGGAACAGCCUUUGAUAUUCACCCUUGAGCUUCUUCUUCCUCUUUCGUCAUGUAAGACACAACCACAAAAACUCUAGGCAACCACCACCACAAUGCCGAACACCCCUCCGCCCACCAUCCUCCAUAGCUGCCGAGCUCCAUGACCAUAAAAAAUAAGAAACUAAAACACACACACAAGAACGCAACAACCAAACAGACGACCAUAAACACCCAUCAGCUCUCUCUUGCUAAAAAAAGACACACUGACCCUCCCCUCAACGCCUCUUCUGUGAAGAAGAAGAUGGACUUCUUCUCCUUCAGUUUUUGAAGGUUGAACGAGGACGAAUGACCAGACGAGUCCGUCAACACCCUUUUGCUUCUUCUUCAGCCAGACCCACGAGGACGAACACACACACAUGGAGUAACAAUAUGACCUCCUCGUACAGUACAUCCUUUGGCUGCUUCACUUACUGAUCUGAUGAUCUUCUGUGGCUUGCUAUUUUCACCUCUACUAUCGUCACUGCUUCUUCUGUUUGCUAUUAGUUAUGCCAUUUUCGGAUAGGAUCAUGAAACUCAUCUACAAAGCAUACUAAAUGGUAUGAAGUAAAUCCAAAUCGCUAGUCACUAUCGCAAUACGUUGACUUCAUUAUUUGGUUUGUCUGAGUUCCGUGUUCGCCGAAGGUCGUAGUCGAGGUUUCCAUUGGCAUCGUGGUUCCAAUCCGGUCAGUUGGAUUUUUUGUCUGUCAUUUGGUUUUCUUGUUUUUGGAUUCAGACAAGAGGGAUUGCUCGGAUUGCUCUGAUGGUAAGCAAUCCCCACUUCCAACCGAGAGGUUGUGAGUUCGAGUUUUUCCAAAGGUGGGAAGUUCUUGGAGGUAAUGAUGUAGGGAUCUAUUUGGAAACAGCCUCUCUACCCCAGGGUAGGGGUAAGGUCUGCGUACAUACUACUUUUCUCAGACCCCACUAAGUGGGAUUUUAUUGGAUUGUUGUUGGUGGUGGUGGUGUAUUCAGAAGUGGGGUUUAGCUUCAUCUGUUUAUUUGUUGUUGUUUCAUCAGGCAAUAAAAAUGUUUCCCUAUCCAACCUGCAUUGCUGCACUUCGAUCAUCUACCUUUAUAAUAUUGAAAAUUAC